GACGAACCGUCCAAACGUUAUUCGGAAUCACUGGGCUUAAAGGGCGCGUAGGCGGGCGAUCAAGUCAGGGGUGAAAUCCUCCAGCUCAACUGGAGAAGUGCCUUUGAUACUGGUUGUCUAGAGUGAGGUAGGGGCAUGUGGAACUUCCAGUGGAGCGGUGAAAUGCGUAGAUAUUGGAAGGAACACCAGUGGCGAAAGCGAUGUGCUGGAUCUCAACUGACGCUGAGGCGCGAAAGCUAGGGGAUCAAACGGG
rnacentral:rRNA from 1 species